GUUAAGGUAGUUUUAUUUAAAAUGCUACUUUUGUAAAGUAGAGAUGUCAUUUAGACUUUUAACA
rnacentral:tRNA from 1 species